GUUGUACCAAUAAUCACAAUAACUUGCGCACCAGUGACCUUCUUUAUCAAACUGCAGCUUCCUCCCCUCCUCGAUAUGAUCAAAUCCACCUAUGGUCCAGACCUUUUUGGUUAGUAGAUAUUUCCCUGCAAUAUCUCUUUAACUCUAUUAGCACUCGAGAUAUUUGAAUCCGUUUGGCGUAAAAGUCUCGUUGAAUACAUUUCAGAUGUUUUAAUUCAGUUGUGUAGUUUUGAUGGGUCUGUUUGGAGUUUGAUUGAGUC
rnacentral:lncRNA from 1 species